rnacentral:rRNA from 1 species
AGAAUCUUUCACAAUGGGGGCAACCCUGAUGCAGCAACGCCGCGUGCGCGAUGAAGGCCUUCGGGUCGUAAAGCGCUUUUCUGGAGGACGAGAAGGGACGGUACUCCAGGAAGAAGGCUCGGCUAACUACGUGCCAGCAGCCGCGGUAAAACGUAGGAGCCUAGCGUUAUCCGAAUUUACUGGGCGUAAAGCGCGUGCAGGCGGCUUCAUAAGUUGGCUGUGAAAUCUCCCGGCUCAACUGGGAGGGGACGGUCAAGACUGUGAGGCUGGAGGCAGGGAGAGGGAGGUGGAAUUCCCGGUGUAGUGGUGAAAUGCGUAGAGAUCGGGAGGAACACCAGUGGCGAAAGCGGCCUCCUGGCCCUGACCUGACGCUGAGACGCGAAAGCUAGGGGAGCGAA